UGCAAGUCGAGCGAACAGACGAGGAGCUUGCUCCUUUGACGUUAGCGGCGGACGGGUGAGUAACACGUGGGUAACCUACCUAUAAGACUGGGAUAACUUCGGGAAACCGGAGCUAAUACCGGAUAAUAUUUCGAACCGCAUGGUUCGAUAGUGAAAGAUGGCUUUGCUAUCACUUAUAGAUGGACCUGCGCCGUAUUAGCUAGUUGGUAAGGUAACGGCUUACCAAGGCAACGAUACGUAGCCGACCUGAGAGGGUGAUCGGCCACACUGGAACUGAGACACGGUCCGACUCCUACGGGAGGCAGCAGUAGGGAAUCUUCCGCAAUGGGCGAAAGCCUGACGGAGCAACGCCGCGUGAGUGAUGAAGGUCUUCGGAUCGUAAAACUCUGUUAUUAGGGAAGAACAAACGUGUAAGUAACUGUGCACGUCUUGACGGUACCUAAUCAAAAAGCCACGGCUAACUACGUGCCAGCAGCCGCGGUAAUACGUAGGUGGCAAGCGUUAUCCGGAAUUAUUGGGCGUAAAGCGCGCGUAGGCGGUUUUUUAAGUCUGAUGUGAAAGCCCACGGCUCAACCGUGGAGGGUCAUUGGAAACUGGAAAACUUGAGUGCAGAAGAGGAAAGUGGAAUUCCAUGUGUAGCGGUGAAAUGCGCAGAGAUAUGGAAGAACACCAGUGGCGAAGGCGACUUUCUGGUCUGUAACUGACGCUGAUGUGCGAAAGCGUGGGGAUCAAACAGGAUUAGAUACCCUGGUAGUCCACGCCGUAAACGAUGAGUGCUAAGUGUUAGGGGGUUUCCGCCCCUUAGUGCUGCAGCUAACGCAUUAAGCACUCCGCCUGGGGGAGUACGACCGCAAGGUUGAAACUAAAGGAAUUGACGGGGACCCGCACAAGCGGUGGAGCAUGUGGUUUAAUUCGAAGCAUCGCGAAGAACCUUACCAAAUCUUG
rnacentral:rRNA from 1 species